GUAAUGAUAGGAUAUGAGGCUGAAGCAAUGAAUUGAAUAAUUGAUUCUUUCCUCAAAUCAAUCUCACAAUAUUUUGUGGUGUCAGCAAGAACCCCUAUUGCCUCUCCAUUUGGAAGAAUAGCUAGCACCCAAGGAUGUGACUGAUACAAGGAUGUAGUUCCAGGACCAUAGCCAUAUGCAUCUGUGUUCCAUGUGAAAACUCUCUUCCCUGUCCGCUCAAGUGGUCCACUAACUUCUCCAGUUCCAUAGAAGGAGGUACCACUGGGAAGCUCAAGUUUGACAAUCUGCUUUCCUAAAACACAAUCGAAAGUAGGGAUAUGUGAAGGAACAGAAUGAUUGAUGAUUGGUGUGUCCCUAUCUUUUGUAUUGAUGAAUGAAAAACUGGGAUAUGCAGCAACUCUAUCAUCUGCAGAACAAUCAAAUCGAAAAACUCCAUCCUCUAGGAUAGGCUCAAAAAUCACAUUCCCUGAUUUGACAUCAGAAGUAACUGUCUUCCCUUCAUGACCAGCCAUUUUAGAUACCGAUGCCAACUUCGUACCGAGUCCGGCCUCUUCUUUCUGGAUGAUCAAAAUCGGUCAAGUGGUCUAAGAGUGAAGAAAGU
rnacentral:misc_RNA from 1 species